rnacentral:tRNA from 1 species
CAAAAUAUAGUUUAAUGAAAAUUCCUGCUUUGGGAGUGGGUGAUGGGAGUUUAAGUCUCUCUAUUUUGA